GACGAACGCUGGCGGCGUGCCUAACACAUGCAAGUCGAACGAAGAAUGUUUUUCGGAAUAUUCUUAGUGGCGGACGGGUGAGUAACGCGUGAACAAUCUGCCCCGUACAAAGGGAUAGCCUCGGGAAACCGGGAUUAAAACCAUAUAACGCUUUAGUACCGCAUGGUAAUAAAGUCAAAUCGAUUAAGAGGUAUGGGAUGAGUUCGCGUCUGAUUAGCUAGUUGGUGAGGUAAGGGCUCACCAAGGCGACGAUCAGUAGCCGGCCUGAGAGGGUGAACGGCCACACUGGAACUGAGACACGGUCCAGACUCCUACGGGAGGCAGCAGUGGGGAAUAUUGCACAAUGGAGGGAACUCUGAUGCAGCGACGCCGCGUGAGUGAAGAAGGUCUUCGGAUCGUAAAACUCUGUCCCUUGGUGAAGAAAAGGACGGUAGCCGAAGGAGGAAGCCCCGGCUAACUACGUGCCAGCAGCCGCGGUAAUAGUCACGGUCG
rnacentral:rRNA from 1 species